UACGUAGGGUGCAAGCGUUAAUCGGAAUUACUGGGCGUAAAGCGUGCGCAGGCGGUUAUGUAAGACAGGUGUGAAAUCCCAGGGCUUAACCUUGGAACUGCAUUUGAGACUGCAUAGCUAGAGUACGGUAGAGGGGGAUGGAAUUCCGCGUGUAACAGUGAAAUGCGUAGAUAUGCGGAGGAACACCGAUGGCGAAGGCAAUCCCCUGGACCUGUACUGACGCUCAUGCACGAAAGCGUGGGGAGCAAACAGG
rnacentral:rRNA from 1 species